rnacentral:rRNA from 1 species
AUGACUCAGAUAGCCAUGCAUGUCUAAGUAUAAAUGGUAUACAGUGAAACUGCGAAUGGCUCAUUAAAACAGUUAUAGUUUAUUUGGUAAUCGAAUUUACAUGGAUAACCGUGGUAAUUCUAGAGCUAAUACAUGCUGUAAAGCCCGACUUUUCGGAAGGGCCGUAUUUAUUAGAUAACAGACCAAUAUUCCUCGUGUCUAUUGUGGUGAAUCAUAGUAACUAAUCGGAUCGCAUGGGCUAGUCCCGCGACAAACCAUUCAAGUUUCUGCCCCAUCAGCUUUCGAUGGUAGUGUAUUGGACUACCAUGGCUUUUACGGGUAACGGAGGAUUAGGGUUCGAUUCCGGAGAGGGAGCCUGAGAAACGGCUACCACAUCUAAGGAAGGCAGCAGGCGCGUAAAUUACCCAAUUCUAAUUCAGAGAGGUAGUGACAAGAAAUAACGGGUCGGGGCUAUGCCCCGGGACUGCAAUGAGAUGAAUUUACACCCCUUUUCGAGUAAC